UAUUUAUUUUAUGUGAUCUCUCUCCCUCAAAAAUUUCUCGGCCACCGGAGACUGCGGUCAGAUCUUUUAUGUGAUCUCUCCCACGGCCAGAUCUCUCUCUCUCAAAAAUUCCUAUAUUGAUAAGUCUCCUUUCCUUCUUCUUUCUAAUUUCGUUUAUCCGAAAGAGCUUACACUCUCCAACUUCCACCUCUCUGGUCUGGUCGCUUCUGGGGUCGCCACGGUUGCUCCUUCGACAGAUCUGGCCGUGGUCACUGCGCCACCGGAGACUGCGGUGGUUCUCUCCUCUGUAACGGAGCCGGCGGUGAGAAAAUUAUUGUAGUGGACUAUCAUUGCGGAUGUUCUUGGUGCCAAUUCUCGGCAUCUAUUCGAGCUUUAUGCGCUUAAGCAGAGUAAUCAUUACCAAAGUUUGAUGGGAAGUAAAUUAUCUGGGUGACUAUAGCCUUGAGAUCUUUGAAGACCCUUCUGCUAUGGCAUUGGUUCAGGUUGGAAUACUGUAUACUCCGCGAGAUCCAUCAUUUUUUCGUCCUAUAUCUCAAGGCGUUAAAAGAUGCCUUGUUAGAUGGCUCAUCCAAGAGCGAAUGCAGCUGAGUUACUGGAGCUCAACCAAAUACUGGUGGCAAAGGAUCAUCCGGGGUCGUUAUUACAAGCAUUUGAUGCUUGGCUACAAAACAUAGACAGUUUCACACAGGUUGGAAAUGAUAAAGCUAGAAAAUACUUGAAACUGUAAGUUGAAGGAGUUCUUGUUUGAUCCAGAACGUUUUGGUCAGCUUAAGACUGUAAGUUUACUCUCCCCUCUCUCUCUCAAUGUUCAAACUUGGAUCAUCUGUUAAAUUGUUAUUACCCAUGUGCUAUUGCACAAAUGCUGCCUAUUGAUGCAGCCGUGUUUGAGACAUCAAAUACCCGUGAAAACUCAUUAGCUCUUGCUCCUCUCGGACCUCCACAACCAAGUAGUCCCGUAGCAUCUAGUCCUGUUUGGAAUCUCCAAAUUACCCAACAGCACCCAUCGAUAUUCUUCUCUAAUCUCUUUAUGCUCUGUUUUUGCUGCAACAAAAAGCUUCUCUGUUUUGACUUAAGCAACUUAUACAAUCCUACCAUGUACGGAAGAGGCUAGGGAGGACAAGCUCUGCCACCACAACAGUAUCUUGUAGAACCACCAAUGUACUGCAUGUCUCUUCAAGACAAUGGAAACAACAAUACAAAUCUCUUAUUGUUGAUGUUGCAUAAACUUAUAUGUUUAAUAUUUUUGAAUUUUGUAAAAUAUUUUUGUUUUCUUUUUAAUGUAAUACAACUAAU